rnacentral:rRNA from 1 species
CCUCACGCUAUCAGAUGAGCCUAGGUCGGAUUAGCUAGUUGGUGGGGUAAAGGCCUACCAAGGCGACGAUCCGUAACUGGUCUGAGAGGAUGAUCAGUCACACUGGAACUGAGACACGGUCCAGACUCCUACGGGAGGCAGCAGUGGGGAAUAUUGGACAAUGGGCGAAAGCCUGAUCCAGCCAUGCCGCGUGUGUGAAGAAGGUCUUCGGAUUGUAAAGCACUUUAAGUUGGGAGGAAGGGCAGUAAGUUAAUACCUUGCUGUUUUGACGUUACCAACAGAAUAAGCACCGGCUAACUUCGUGCCAGCAGCCGCGGUAAUACGAAGGGUGCAAGCGUUAAUCGGAAUUACUGGGCGUAAAGCGCGCGUAGGUGGUUCAGCAAGUUGGAUGUGAAAUCCCCGGGCUCAACCUGGGAACUGCAUCCAAAACUACUGAGCUAGAGUACGGUAGAGGGUGGUGG